rnacentral:miRNA from 1 species
AGAAGUGACCAAAAGACAAGAGUGUGAGCCUUUUGUUAUGCCCGAGGCAGGGCCAUCAGAGGGCUCCUUGGUCUAGUGGUAAUGCCA